GACGAACGCUGGCGGCGUGCUUAACACAUGCAAGUCGAACGAUGACGACAGGGCUUGCCUUGUCUGAUUAGUGGCGAACGGGUGAGUAACACGUGAGUAACCUGCCCCCCUCUUCGGGAUAACCUCGGGAAAUCGGGGCUAAUACCGGAUAUGACUUCGCACCGCAUGGUGUGUUGUGGAAAGUUUUUCGGUGGGGGAUGGACUCGCGGCCUAUCAGUUUGUUGGUGAGGUAAUGGCUCACCAAGGCGAUGACGGGUAGCCGGCCUGAGAGGGCGACCGGCCACACUGGGACUGAGACACGGCCCAGACUCCUACGGGAGGCAGCAGUGGGGAAUAUUGCACAAUGGGCGAAAGCCUGAUGCAGCGACGCCGCGUGGGGGAUGACGGCCUUCGGGUUGUAAACCUCUUUCAGUAGGGAAGAAGCGAAAGUGACGUACCUGCAGA
rnacentral:rRNA from 1 species